rnacentral:rRNA from 1 species
CGGACGGGUGAGUAACACGUGGAUAACCUACCUAUAAGACUGGGAUAACUUCGGGAAACCGGAGCUAAUACCGGAUAAUAUAUUGAACCGCAUGGUUCAAUAGUGAAAGACGGUUUUGCUGUCACUUAUAGAUGGAUCCGCGCCGCAUUAGCUAGUUGGUAAGGUAACGGCUUACCAAGGCAACGAUGCGUAGCCGACCUGAGAGGGUGAUCGGCCACACUGAAACUGAGACACGGUCCAG